rnacentral:misc_RNA from 1 species
UCGUGCUUKUAAAGAUGAGUGACAAGCAAAAAGUUAAGACAUUUUAGAUCGCUGAUCUAGUGGAACAUUCGACACAUUGUUGGUGAACAUGUGCGUGUUUGUUUCAAUUAUGAACCGGUACGAAAUGUGCCAAGGAAAGGAAAAUAUUGUCCCUCCUUUGAAUGAGACACGUUGCUAUUUUUUAUAAGGGUGGAGAUUAAUCAAUAAU